UGUCGAAAACAAUCCAAAUAUUUUCCCAUCACCCCUAAGAGAAACGAUUCCACUAUGAAAAGUUUGAUCGGCAUGUACGGCACAAAUCAGCACAAAUGUAGCACACACAAGACUCUUGGUUUCAUUUCGAAAUUUGAAGGGAGGGGGGCUGGGGUGCCAGGGAAAUGGACCUAAUGUACUUUUAUUUAUGUUGAAAAUUCGGAUACAGAUGACACAUCUUAUGAAAUCUCUCUAAAAAAAUAAAAUAAAAAACGUGUCAUAUUUGCUCGUGUUCGUGAAUUCUCAGAAAAAUUUACAAUUAAUCUCGUUGAAAAUACAUAAUUCUGUUAGUUCUUUGAAAUCGUUUAUUAAAGUUUUACAAAUCAUAGAGAACGAUAAUAAUUCUAUAAUUGUGUAUGAAAACAAAUAAGGUAUACGGAAUCGUUUAUACUUAUACCCUUUACAUAACAUUAUGCCACUGCGUUUUUCCAGAAAGGUUUCCUUUUUUUUUUUUUUUGGAAAAUGUUCCUACAAUUUUAUCUCUGGUAAUCUGGUCAUUCGAACGUUUCUUAAUUUAAACGUUUCAUUCAUUUGGAAAACAAAUUGAUGAAAAAAAAAAAAAACUAUAGAACGAAAUGUUAUUAUAUUAUUAUAAAUUCGUAACGAAAAAUGUAGAUAACUGAAAAAGGUUAGAGUACGCCGCGAUUGUAUAAAAUAGAAAUUACAUUAUAUGAAUCCGACUGAAUUUAAGGUAUAAGUAGUACAAAUAUUAGGUAUUUACGUAUACAGUAUAUAAAUACUA